rnacentral:rRNA from 1 species
GUAGUUAGCCGGGGCUUCCUCACAGGGUACCGUCACUUCUUCGUCCCCUGCGACAGAGGUUUACAAUCCGAAAACCUUCUUCCCUCACGCGGCGUUGCUGGGUCAGGCUUGCGCCCAUUGCCCAAUAUUCCCCACUGCUGCCUCCCGUAGGAGUCUGGACCGUGUCUCAGUUCCAGUGUGGCCGAUCAGCCUCUCAGCUCGGCUACCCAUCGUCGGCUUGGUGAGCUGUUAUCUCACCAACUACCUAAUGGGACGCGAACCCCUCUUAUAGCGAUAAAUCUUUGACCCCUUCCUGAUGUCAGGUUGUGGUCUCAUGCGGUAUUAGCACUUGUUUCCAACUGUUAUCCCCCAUACUAAGGCAGGUUGUUCACGCGUUACUCACCCGUUCGCCACUCAAAUUAUAAAUUCCAUCCGAAAACUUCCUUUAUAAUCUCCGUUCGACUUGCAUGUGUUAGGCACGCCGCCAGCGUUCGUCCUGAGCCAGGAUCAAACUCUGA